UACAGAGGUCUCAAGCGUUGUUCGGAUUCAUUGGGCGUAAAGGGUGUGUAGGUGGCGCCGUUAGUCGGGUGUGAAAUUUCGGAGCUUAACUCCGAAACUGCAUUCGAUACUGCGGUGCUUGAGGACUGGAGAGGAGACUGGAAUUUACGGUGUAGCGGUGAAAUGCGUAGAUAUCGUAAGGAAGACCAGUGGCGAAGGCGGGUCUCUGGACAGUUCCUGACGCUGAGGCACGAAGGUCAGGGGAGCAAACGGG
rnacentral:rRNA from 1 species